GCUGAAUCCUGAUCUAAAUGCAGCUUGUUCAAGAGGUUGGUAGAAGUCGAGCUUCUUGGUGUUCCUCUUCGUAACUAUUUUCAUGAACAACUUGUAGAGUGUUGAUAAGAGACUUAUGGGUCGAUAGUUUUCCAACUUUGUUAUGUCUCCUUUUUUAUGCAGCAAUGACUUUGUGGGAUUU